UACGUAGGGGGCUAGCGUUGUCCGGAAUCAUUGGGCGUAAAGCGCGCGUAGGCGGCCAGAUAAGUCCGGUGUGAAAGUCAAAGGCUCAACCUUUGAAUGCCGCUGGAAACUGUCUGGCUUGAGUCCGGAAGGGGCGAGUGGAAUUCCUGGUGUAGCGGUGAAAUGCGCAGAUAUCAGGAGGAACACCGGUGGCGAAGGCGGUUCUCUGGGCCUUACCUGACGCUGAGGAGCGAAAGCGUGGGGAGCGAACAGG
rnacentral:rRNA from 1 species